rnacentral:tRNA from 1 species
UCCUCGUUAGUAUAGUGGUCAGUAUCCCCGCCUGUCACGCGGGAGACCGGGGUUCACCCCCGACGGGAGA